GCCUAGAUGGCGGAAUUGGUAGACGCGCGGGUCUCAAACACCCGUUCCCGCGAGGGAGUACCGGUUCGACCCCGGUUCUGGGCACCA
rnacentral:tRNA from 1 species